rnacentral:SRP_RNA from 13 species
GCUGGGCGUGUAGUGUGUGCCUGUAGUCCCAGCUGCUUGGGAGGCUGAGGCUGGAGGAUGGCUCGAGCCCAGGAGUUCUGGGCUGUAGUGCGCUAUGCGGAUGAGGUGUCCAUGCUAAGUUUGGUAUCAAUAUGGUGACCUCCUAGGAGCGGGGGGACCACCAGGUUGCCUAAGGCUGGAGACGGAGCAGGUCAAAACUCCCGUGCUGAUCAGUAGUAGGAUCGCGCCUGUGAAUAGCCACUGCGCUCCAGCCUGGGCAGCAUAGCAAGACCCCAUCUCUA